rnacentral:rRNA from 1 species
UACGAAGGGGGGCAAGCGUUGUCCGGAAUCAUUGGGCGUAAAGAGCGUGUAGGCGGCCAGAUAAGUCCGCUGUGAAAUCUCGAGGCUCAACUUCGAGCUGUCGGUGGAAACUGUCUGGCUAGAGUCCGGAAGAGGAGAAUGGAAUUCCUGGUGUAGCGGUGAAAUGCGCAGAUAUCAGGAAGAACACCCGUGGCGAAGGCGGUUCUCUGGGACGGUACUGACGCU